rnacentral:ribozyme from 13 species
UUCUCUUUCCAUUUCUCUUUCCAUUUCUCUUUCCAUUUCUCUUUCUGUCUCUUCACAGGAGGGAAUGGAGGGGAGACACAAGGGAGGGACAGGAGUAAUUACAGGAGGAGAAACGCCCUUUACUGCCGGCAAUGACAAUUCAAUCCUUCUUUCUUCUCUUCCCACUUC